rnacentral:rRNA from 1 species
AUUGAACGCUGGCGGCAUGCUUUACACAUGCAAGUCGAACGGCAGCGCGGGCUUCGGCCUGGCGGCGAGUGGCGAACGGGUGAGUAAUGCAUCGGAACGUGCCCAGUAGUCGGGGAUAGCCCGGCGAAAGCCGGAUUAAUACCGCAUCCGACCUGAGGGUGAAAGCGGGGGACCGAAAGGCCUCGCGCCAUUUGAGCAGCCGAUGUCGGAUUCGCUAGUUGGUGGGGUAAUGGCUUAACAAGGCGGCGAAGCGUAGCUGGUCUGAGAGGACGACCAGACACACUGGGAGUGAGAAACGGCCCAGACUCCGACGGUAGGCAGCAGUGGGGAAUCUUAGGCAAUGGGGGAGACCCGGAUCCAGCCAUGCGGCGUGAAGGAAGAAGGCCUUCUGGUGGUAAACCGCUGUUGUUCGUGGAGAAGUACUGUGGGCUAAUACGCCGGGGUGAUGACGGUACCGGAAGAAUAAGCACCGGCUAACUACGUG